rnacentral:piRNA from 1 species
UAGGAAAAUACUUGAUGCGCG